CUACUUUUGUUCAGAAUUUUUAAACCUAUUCAACAAAUUCAAUUGUUGGUUUGUACAAAAAAGUCUUAUUAAAAACGAUUUUAUCUCUGAAAUCAAGUGGUGAAAAUCUAAUUUUUUUUUAGAUAAACAACAGAAACGGAUUACUGCCUACAACAUCCAGCAUGGCCGAGAAUGUAUCAAUUCGUACCUUGUAUGUUUCGCCAAUCUAUUCACGUAUAAAGUACGAAAUUGAAGGGUACUUCGAACGAUUCGGAAAUGUGGAAAAAGUCCGAUUUCGCGAUUCAAACAAUGGUUUCGAAUAUUGUUUCGUGCAAUUUGCAACUGCUGAAAGCGCAAGAUCAGCUUUAGACAACAAAAAGCAUCGUAUUGGAAAUGUUAACGUUAAGGUCAAGGCUGCUCACUCCCACCAUCAACCCGAUUCAGUGGAUUACUUUGAUUCCGAUUCCGACGAAUACGGUUAUAAUUCAGAUUCGUCUUAAAUGAUGCAGUUGUUGUCAAUAUUUUUUUCACUGCGAAUUUUGAAUAAUUUUUCAAAUAAAU